rnacentral:rRNA from 1 species
GACGAACGCUGGCGGCGUGCUUAACACAUGCAAGUCGAACGGAAAGGCCCUGCUUUUGUGGGGUGCUCGAGUGGCGAACGGGUGAGUAACACGUGAGUAACCUGCCCUUGACUUUGGGAUAACUUCAGGAAACUGGGGCUAAUACCGGAGAGGAGCUCCUGCUGCAUGGUGGGGGUUGGAAAGUUUCGGCGGUGGGGGAUGGACUCGCGGCUUAUCAGCUUGUUGGUUGGGUAGGGGCUUACCAAGGCUUUGACGGGUAGCCGGCAUGGGAGGGUGAACGGGCACAUUGGGACUGCGAUACGGACCAGUAUCCUACGGGAGGCAGUAGUGGGGAAUAUUGCACAAUGGGCGGAAGCCUGAUGCAGCAACGCCGCGUGCGGGAUGACGGCCUUCGGGUUGUAAACCGCUUUCGCCUGUGCCGAAGCGUGAGUGACGGUAAUGGGUAAAGAAGCCACGGCUAACUACGUG